rnacentral:rRNA from 1 species
AUGAACGCUGGCGGCGUGCCUAAUACAUGCAAGUCGAGCGAACAGACGAGGAGCUUGCUCCUCUGACGUUAGCGGCGGACGGGUGAGUAACACGUGGAUAACCUACCUAUAAGACUGGGAUAACUUCGGGAAACCGGAGCUAAUACCGGAUAAUAUAUUGAACCGCAUGGUUCAAUAGUGAAAGACGGUUUUGCUGUCACUUAUAGAUGGAUCCGCGCCGCAUUAGCUAGUUGGUAAGGUAACGGCUUACCAAGGCGACGAUGCGUAGCCGACCUGAGAGGGUGAUCGGCCACACUGGAACUGAGACACGGUCCAGACUCCUACGGGAGGCAGCAGUAGGGAAUCUUCCGCAAUGGGCGAAAGCUUGACGGAGCAACGCCGCGUGAGUGAUGAAGGUCUUCGGAUCGUAAAACUCUGUUAUUAGGGAAGAACAAAUGUGUAAGUAAUUAUGCACGUCUUGACGGUACCUAAUCAGAAAGCCACGGCUAACUACGUG